AUUGAACUCUGGCGGCAGGCCUAACACAUGCAAGUCUAACGAGUGGCGGACGGGUGAGUAAUGUCUGGGAAACUGCCUGAUGGAGGGGGAUAACUACUGGAAACGGUAGCUAAUACCGCAUACCAUCAGAUGUGCCCAGAUGGGAUUAGCUUGUUGGUGGGGUAACGGCUCACCAAGGCGACGAUCCCUAGCUGGUCUGAGAGGAUGACCAGCGAAACGGGAACGGAGACACGGUCCAGACUACUACGGGAGGAAGCAGUGGGGAAUAUUGCACAAUGGGCGCAAGCCUGAUGAAGCCAUGCCGCGUGUAUGAAGAAGGCCUUCGGGUUGUAAAGUACUUUCAGCGGGGAGGAGUUACCCGCAGAAGAAGAACCGGCUAAGUCCGUGACAGCCGCAGAGGUAAUUC
rnacentral:rRNA from 1 species